rnacentral:rRNA from 1 species
GGACCCGCACAAGCGGUGGAGCAUGUGGUUCAAUUCGACGCAACGCGAAAAACCUUACCUGGGUUUGACAUGUCGGUGGUAGGAAACCGAAAGGGGCCCGACCCCGCAAGGGGAGCCGACACAGGUGCUGCAUGGCUGUCGUCAGCUCGUGUCGUGAGAUGUUGGGUUAAGUCCCGCAACGAGCGCAACCCUCGCCCCUAGUUGCCAACGGGUCAUGCCGGGAACUCUAGGGGGACUGCCCCGGUUAACGGGGAGGAAGGUGGGGAUGACGUCAAGUCAUCAUGGCCUUUAUGUCCAGGGCUACACACGUGCUACAAUGGCCGGUACAAAGGGUCGCAAACGCGCGAGCGGAAGCUAAUCCCAAAAAGCCGGUCCCAGUUGGGAUCGCAGUCUGCAACUCGACUGCGUGAACGCGGAAUCGCUAGUAAUCGCGAAUCAGCAGGUCGCGGUGAAUACGUUCCCGGGUCCU